UUUUAGCCCCGAUAGUAGUGAAAAUCCUUUUUAAAAACUUGGAGCGCAGCGGAAAUUUUUUAAAAAGAUUGCAACGGAUAGCGGGAAUAGCU
rnacentral:sRNA from 1 species